UACGGAGGGUGCAAGCGUUGUUCGGAAUUACUGGGCGUAAAGCGCGUGUAGGCGGCCGAUUAAGUCUGGUGUGAAAGCCCCGGGGGUCUCCACCCCGGGAAGUGCGCUGGAGACUGGUCGGCUAGAGUAUGGGAGAGGAAAGUGGAACUUCCCGGUGUAGCGGUGAAAUGCGUAGAUAUCGGGAGGAACACCAGCGGCGAAGGCGGCUUCCUGGACCAAUACUGACGCUGAGACGCGAAAGCGU
rnacentral:rRNA from 1 species